AGCCACUACAGAGAAAACAAUGAGCUCAACACAGAAGGACCAACAUGGAGCGAGAAGUCAGCGCUCUCAGGAGGCCGACAAACCUCACAGAAGAAAGGCAGAGAAAACAUACACCUGUGACGAGUGUGGGAAGGGUUUUACUAGGAAGAAUUCACUAAAACAGCAUCAGGUCAUCCACACUGGAGAGAGACCGUUCAGCUGUGACUUGUGUGGAAAGUCUUUUUCCUGGAAGGGUUACCUAAAACAACACCAACUCAUCCACAGUGGAGUUAAAGCGUACAGCUGUGAUCAGUGUGGCAGAGCUUUUACUCAACGUGGCCAAUUACAGAGGCAUCUAGUUACCCAGUCUGGAAUUAAGGCAUACACCUGUGACGAGUGUGGGAAGGAGUUUACUGGGAAGGCUGAACUAAAACGUCAUCAGGUCAUCCACACUGGAGAGAGACCGUUCAGCUGUGACUUGUGUGGAAAGUCUUUUUCCUUGAAGGGUUACCUAAAAAAACACCAACUCAUCCACAGUGGAGUUAAAGCGUACAGCUGUGAUCAGUGUGGCAGAGCUUUUACUCAAAGUAGCAGCUUACAGAGUCAUCUAGUUACCCACUCUGGAAUUAAGGCAUACACCUGUGACAUCUGUGGAAAAACUUUCAGCCGGCAAGAUAGCCAAAAUAUACACCUACGCAUUCACACCAGACAUGAUGUGUACAGCUGUGAACAGUGUGGCAAAGAGUUUACAACAGAUGCACAGUUACAACAACACGUUUACCCACACUGAGGGACGACCUUAUAAAUGUGACCUGUGUGAGAAGACUUUUAAAUCUCCACAUCACCUGAGACGACACCAACAGAUCCACACCAGAAAGAGACUCUACAAGUGCAGUUACUGUGAGAAGCAGAACGACACAGAUGGAUCCAGUUCUCAACCCUGUCAUCACUGUGGUGGUGGGAAAGAGUUUCAUUGUGACCUCUGUGGAAAAGGUUUCAGUUGGCA